CCUACGUGGUGCAGCAGUGGGGAAUAUUGGGCAAUGGGCGCAAGCCUGACCCAGCAACGCCGCGUGAAGGAAGAAGGCUUUCGGGUUGUAAACUUCUUUUAUCAGGGACGAAGCAAGUGACGGUACCUGAUGAAUAAGCCACGGCUAACUAAGUGCCAGCAGCCGCGGUAAUACGUAGGUGGCAAGCGUUAUCCGGAUUUACUGGGUGGAAAGGGCGUGGAGGCGGGAGUGCAAGUCAGAUGUGAAAACUAUGGGCUCAACCCAUAGCCUGCUUUGGAAACUGUACUUCUGGAGUGCUGGAGAGGCAAUCGGCAGUCCGUGGGGAGCGCGGAGAUGCGUAGAUAUACGGAGGAACACCAGUGGCGAAGGCGGAUUGCUGGACAGUAACUGACGCUGAGGCGCGAAAGCGUGGGGAGCAAACAGGAUUAGAUACCCUGGUAGUC
rnacentral:rRNA from 1 species